rnacentral:rRNA from 1 species
GUGCGUCGUAGUCCGGAUUGGAGUCUGCAACUCGACUCCAUGAAGUCGGAAUCGCUAGUAAUCGUGAAUCAGAAUGUCACGGUGAAUACGUUCCCGGGCCUUGUACACACCGCCCGUCACACCAUGGGAGUGGGCUGCAAAAGAAGUGGGUAGUUUAACCUUUCGGGGAGGACGCUCACCACUUUGUGGUUCAUGACUGGGGUGAAGUCGUAACAAGGUAGCCCUAGGGGAACCUGGGGCUGGAUCACCUCCUUAUACGAAGAUAC